rnacentral:rRNA from 1 species
CACGCCGUAAACGAUGAGUACUAGGUGUCGGGGGUUACCCCCCUCGGUGCCGCAGCUAACGCAUUAAGUACUCCGCCUGGGGAGUACGCUCGCAAGAGUGAAACUCAAAGGAAUUGACGG